rnacentral:rRNA from 1 species
GAUGAACGCUGGCGGCGUGCCUAAUACAUGCAAGUCGAACGAACAGAUGAGGAGCUUGCUCCUCUGACGUUAGCGGCGGACGGGUGAGUAACACGUGGAUAACCUACUUAUAAGACUGGGAUAACUUCGGGAAACCGGAUCUAAUACCGGAUAAUAUAUUGAACCGCAUGGUUCAAUAGUGAAAGACGGUUUUGCUGUCACUUAUAGAUGGAUCCGCGCCGCAUUGGCUAGUUGGUAAGGUAACGGCUUACCAAGGCAACGAUGCGUAGCCGACCUGAGAGGGUGAUCGGCCACACUGGAACUGAGACAGCGUCCAGACUCCUACGGGAGGCAGCAGUAGGGAAUCGUCCGCAAAGGGCGAAAGCCUGACGGAGCAACGCCGAGUGAGUGAUGAAGGUCUUCGGAUCGUAAAGCUCUGUUAUUAGGGAAGAACAAAUGUGUAAGUAACUAUGCACGUCUUGACGGUACCUAAUCAGAAAGCCACGGCUAACUACGUG